rnacentral:rRNA from 1 species
CAGUCGCCGCGGGAAUACGGAGGGUGCAAGCGUUACUCGGAAUCACUGGGCGUAAAGGACGCGUAGGCGGAUUAUCAAGUCUCUUGUGAAAUCUAACGGCUUAACCGUUAAACUGCUUGGGAAACUGAUAACCUAGAGUAAGGGAGAGGCAGAUGGAAUUCUUGGUGUAGGGGUAAAAUCCGUAGAGAUCAAGAAGAAUACCCAUUGCGAAAGCGAUCUGCUGGAACGUAACUGACGCUAAUGCGUGAAAGCGUGGGGAGCAAACAGGAUUAGAUACCCCCGUAGUCCCUGUCUCUUAUAC